AAAUGUGCCCAGGAAACGGGUUUUCCAGACUAGAUCAUCGGAGAAGUCCUUAUUCUUUAGAAAACGGGGGUUCCCCUAUUCCAUUAUAGAUGAGGCUCUCACUAGGAUCGCCUCGAUAUCCUGCAGCUCCGCUCUUGCUCCCCCUCCCCCUGUUCGCAACAAGGAGAGAGUCCCCCUAGUCAUCAGCUUCCACCCCAUCAGCCGUCACA